AUUGAACGCUGGCGGCAGGCCUAACACAUGCAAGUCGAACGAGUGGCGGACGGGUGAGUAAUGUCUGGUAAACUGCCUGAUGGCGGGGGAUAACUACUGGAAACGGUAGCUAAUACCGCAUACCAUCAGAUGUGCCCAGCUGCGAUUAGCUAGUAGGGGGGGUAACGGCGAACCUAGGCGACGAUACCUAGCUGGUCUGAGAGGAUGACCAGCAACACUGGAACAGAGACAAGGGCAAGAAGCCUAAGGGAGGAAGUAGUGGGGAAUAGGGCACAAUGGGCGCAAGACGGAUGCAGCCAUGCCGCGUGUAUAAAGAAGGCCUUCGGGUUGUAAAGUACUUUCAGCGGGGAGGCGUUACCCGCAGAAGAAGCACCGGCUAACUCCGUGCCAGCAGCCGCGGUAAUUC
rnacentral:rRNA from 1 species